AUGUUUCGGACAAGAUACCGGGACAUCGAGCGGACAAGCCGGUGGUGAUUCUCGAUUGAAGGGUGUGCGCCAAGGACAAGAUACCGGGACAUCGAGCGGACAAGCCGGUGGUGAUUCUCGAUUGAAGGGUGUGCGCCAAGGUAAUUAGAAGUCAUGGAUGGCGAUCAAGCGACAAGAUGAUUGAACCGAACACUCCACUUCGAAGCUUCCGCUAUAUUGAACUUGUUAAACAGUGUUUCUUUUGUUGUAAUCAAAGUCUUAAACAACAAUAUUAUGUUCUACUUUUGUUUUAGUAGGCUAACUAGCAAAAGUUUU
rnacentral:lncRNA from 1 species